UGCUCCGCGAGGCCACGCCUCUUCCGGCCAGCCGCAUUUCCUCCGCGUGUGCUUGAAUGCACACCUGGUGGCGGCUGUCUUAACGUCUGGGUUUGGCGGCUGGACGGGCGAGAUGGCGACGGAGGUGUUGCCGAGUGCGAGAUGGCUGUACUGUGGAGCGCCUGACGAGAGCCAGAGAGCUCUACUGGUCCAGUUCUCCAAUGGGAAGCUGCAGAAUCCAGGCAACAUGCGCUUUACCUUGUACAAGAGCAACGACUCCACAAACCCCAGGAAGAAGAAUCAGCGGAUCCUGGCAGCUGAAACAGACAGACUUUCCUAUGUAGGAAAUAAUUUUGGGACUGGAGCCCUCAAAUGCAACACUCUGUGCAGGCACUUUGUGGGAAUUUUGAACAAGACCUCUGGCCAAAUGGAAGUGUAUGAUGCUGAAUUGUUUAACAUGCAGCCACUGUUCUCAGAUGAAUCAGUUGAGAGUGAAUCGACACUAGAGAACCAGACCAAAUCUUUUAGGGAAAAGAUGGAUUCUUGCAUUGAAGCUUUUGGUACCACCAAACAGAAGCGGGCUCUGAACUCCAGGAGGAUGAACAAAGUUGGCAGUGAAUCUUUGAAUCGUGCAGUGGCUAAAGCCGCAGAGAAUAUUAUUGAUACAAAGGGUGUCACUGCCCUGGUCAGUGACGCCAUCCACGAUGACUUGCAGGACGACUCCCUCUACCUCCCUCCCUGCCACGCUGAUGCAACCAAGCCUGAAGACGUGUAUAAAUUUGAAGACCUUCUUUCUCCAGCGGAGUAUGACGCUCUUCAGAGCCCAUCUGAAGCCUUCAGGAAUGUCACAUCAGAAGAAAUACUAAAGAUGGCUGAAGAGAACAGUCACUGCUCCUUCGUCAUAGAAGCGUUGAAGUCUUUGCCAUCAAAUGAGGAGAGGCGAGACCGCCAGGCCCGGUGUAUAUGGUUUCUGGACACCCUUAUCAAAUUUCGAGCACAGAAAGUGAUUAAGCGGAAAAGUGCCCUGGGACCUGGAGUUCCCCACGUCAUCAACACUAAGCUGCUGAAGCACUUUACCUGUUUGACCUACAACAACGGCAGUUUACGGAACUUAAUUUCGGACUCUAUGAAGGCAAAGAUCACCGCCUAUGUGAUCAUACUCGCCUUGCACAUAAACAGCUUCCAGGUUGACCUGACAAUGUUACAGAGAGACUUGAAGCUCAGUGAGAAAAGGAUGAUGGAGAUAGCGAAAGCCAUGAGGCUGAAGAUCUCUAAAAAAAGGGUUUCUCUGGCAGCGGACAGGGAAGAGGAUCACAAACUGGGCACUCUCUCCAUCCCGCUGCCUCCAGCCCAGACCUUGGACCGUCAGUCGAAGCGGAGGAAGAUCACCUAGAGGGCUGCAGAAGUGGAUAUCAGGAGGCUGCCACUAGCACUGUGGAGUUCACGAACACAGCUGGAGUGGCCAGCCAGGCAUGAAGAAGGCACUUGAAUUCAUGCAGCUACUUGAAUUCAGCUGCUGCUUGGAUUCAUGCAGCUGGUAACCUGACACUGGAAUGCUGAGUUCAGCCAGCCAUGCAUUCAGUACUCACACCCCUCCACCUCCUUGCUUGUCAGCGCGAACAGCCAAAAGAUCCAGAUGCUGGCCUCCAUCUUGCUCCCUUCUUCUAAAAUGGCUGCAAGAAUAGCACGGACUGCUGGAUGUCCUUCACCCAGAUGGUCCAGCCGUGCAUGGGUUGUCCUGUUUAUCACUUGCUUUAUGCAUCUCCAUCCUGUACGUUGCCUGCCCCAGCUCUGGAAUCAGCCUUUUAUCCAAGGAGCCUGGAUGGAUGACAUGAUUGAUGGCCUAAGGCAAGAGGUGAAAUGCCACCCUGACAAUCAAGACAGAAGACAGACGGCAUCUUUGGCUGCACUCAGGCAAGAACUGGUUUCUAAGCGGGGUGACAGUUGUGGUGUGAGUCACUCAGACUGCACCAGAGGGCCAUGUUAGGCUUGACUUCAUUUCAAAGGGAUGAUAAUCACAAAGGAGGGGCUCCAGAGCCCCCAGGCCAUAAUGGCACCUGCAAAGUCCUGGACAGGAAGGGAGAAAGAACGAGUGGGAUGAGAGUGUUCAUGUCGGGCGAGUGCUCAGGGCUGGAACAAGCCCAGCGGGCCCCAUGUGAGUCCACGUGAGGAAGCAUUCAGAAAAGAGACUGCGGGAAGGAAGGAAGGAAAGGGAAGAAGGUGGGCCCAGGGCUCUGCUGAGGACAGUAUAGGCGCAUGUGCUGUUCGAAGACCCAGCGCUGGCUCCUGUCUGGUCUGGCCACACCACACCCCCAUUCCCUGUAGUCAGGGCCUCAACAGGACUUGGAGGCCUGGAUGAAGUUGCAUUGGUCUUUGCUGUGCUUGUCUGCUCCCAUCAGCAGGCAUCAGGGUAAGCCCUGCCCACUCAGCCAGUGCAGGCUACUGCAGAGCAGUCUCCUUCCAGAUGCUUCCUUAACUACGGAAGAGCUCGGAUGGGUGUUCCGAGCUCCUCUCACUUACGCAUCCAAAUGAUUUGGCAGAAGAUGAACACUCUGUGUGUGUGUGUGUCCCCUGGCUGAUGGAGCCCUAGGUGACAGCCUGCCUACACCUCUCCUCCCUACAAGCUCUUAACAUUAGGUGGGGAACCUAGUGGACCUUAACAGGCAUCACCACUCAGAACUCAAUUCCUUUUGUAAAAAAGGAGCAAUAACCUCACCAAGUCAGUGCUUAAUAUACUGUUGAUGGGCUGUAAGAUGAUUGUGGUGGCAUGGGGGUGUGUCAGGAUAUAUGAAGUUAUGCUGGCUUGGCCAAACUGCAGUAACGAAUUUCCCUGGAAUGUUCAGUUUCAACAAAGGUUUAUUCGCUUAUGAUAGCGUGAAUAUUUUCAUUUUAAUGAAAUUUUAUUUUUAUGUGUGUUAUUUUUAUUUUUAUAUGUGUUUAUUUUUGUGUGUGUAGUAGUGAUAGAAACAUUUCUUUUUAGUUGAGUGUUCCUUGAUAGGAUCCUGGAAUGGAAAAAGGACACUAGGUAAUGAUUAAGGAAGGAUAUAUGAAUAAACUGUGGACUUUAGUUAAUAAUAAUAAUGUGCCUACUGGUUCAGUAAUUUUGACAAAGGUACCAUACUAACGUGAGGUAUGUAAGGUGUUAAUUACAGAAACUUGGCGGGGAGGGUGGUACAGGAACGCUGUACCACCUAUCUCCUCACUUUUUCUGUAAAUCUAAAACUCUUGUAGGCAGUGUUCAGUAAGUGGUGCUGGGAAAACUGGAUAGCUACAUGUAAAAGAAUGAAAUUAGAACUUUUUUUGUUCUAAUUUUGUUCAAAUUAGAAAAACUCAAAAUGGAUUAAAAACCUAAGUGUUAAGACCAUGAGCCAUGAAACUCCUAGAAGAAAACAGGCAGAACACAUUUUGGCAUAAAUCAUAGCAAGUUUUUGGAUCGCCCUCCCAAAGCAAAGGAAACAAGAAAAGCAAAAGGACCCAGUUAAACUUAAAAGCUUUUGCACAGCAAAGGAAAC